CUUGGAAUUUCCUAAUGUGUUUUGUGCUUUUCUUCUGUAAGGUUAUGUAUCCUUUUCCUAAGGUGGUGACUUGGAUGUUACUGUUGUGACUGCAGUUGAUUAAAUAUUUGUCGUGCUGAAUUUAUUUUCAAAAAAUGCGGGCAUUGUUUAUUCUCUUUGACUGCCACAGCACUGUUCAUGCAUGCUUGAAAGAGUUUUGUCUUGUUUGCAUGAUGCAUCAUGCAGCCAUAUCCCAGUUUCCCUUCAUAAGUCCAAGUGACAUCUAGUGCAUG
rnacentral:lncRNA from 1 species